UCACACCACAAGCAAAAUUUAAUUUAAGCAGCCCUUUCCAAGAGCCAUGAAAUUCCAGAGAUGAGAGGUCAUUUAGGUCAAGUGUUCCUCUUACAGCAAAGGAAGCCCACCCUAGAGAUGAUGUGAUCUGGAGGCAAGAGAAGGACAGAGGGCCCUAAAUUCAAAAGAGCAGUGAUUUACUUCCGGCAGUGUCACUUGCUAGAUGCAUGAACUAAGCUCCCAGCUGAUAGCCAUUGUUCUCCUGGAUGGGCCACUUGAUUGUGGGGCUGCCUUUUCCCUAGCCCCAGUGGUCAGGGAGCCUUGCCCUGCUCUUGGUGGGCAGAUGUUCUUAAGAAGGACAGGUCUCUGUCCUGACGUACACUGGAAUUGUGAAAGAUCUCACCU
rnacentral:lncRNA from 1 species